rnacentral:rRNA from 1 species
CCUACGGGAGGCAGCAGUGGGGAAUAUUGCACAAUGGGGGAAACCCUGAUGCAGCAACGCCGCGUGAGUGAAGAAGUAUUUCGGUAUGUAAAGCUCUAUCAGCAGGGAAGAAAAUGACAGUACCUGACUAAGAAGCCCCGGCUAACUACGUGCCAGCAGCCGCGGUAAUACGUAGGGGGCAAGCGUUAUCCGGAUUUACUGGGUGUAAAGGGAGCGUAGACGGCUGCGCAAGUCAGAAGUGAAAGCCCGGGGCUCAACCGCGGGACUGCUUUUGAAACUGCGAGGCUGGAGUGCUGGAGAGGUAAGCGGAAGUCCUGGUGUAGCGGUGAAAUGCGUAGAUAUCAGGAGGAACACCGGUGGCGAAGGCGGCUUACUGGACAGUGACUGACGUUGAGGCUCGAAAGCGUGGGGAGCGAACAGGAUUAGAUACCCUUGUAGUC